AAUUCGCCCUUAGAGUUUGAUCCUGGCUCAGAUUGAACGCUGGCGGCAUGCCUAACACAUGCAAGUCGAACGGUAACAGGCGGAAGCUUGCUUCUGCGCUGACGAGUGGCGGACGGGUGAGUAACGCGUAGGAAUCUGCCCGGUAGUGGGGGACAACCUGGGGAAACCCAGGCUAAUACCGCAUACGCCCUACGGGGGAAAGGUGGCCUCUCCUUGGAAGCUACCGCUAUCGGAUGAGCCUGCGUCGGAUUAGCUAGUUGGUGAGGUAAUGGCUCACCAAGGCGACGAUCCGUAGCUGGUCUGAGAGGACGAUCAGCCACACUGGGACUGAGACACGGCCCAGACUCCUACGGGAGGCAGCAGUGGGGAAUAUUGGGCAAUGGGGGCAACCCUGAUCCAGCAAUGCCGCGUGUGUGAAGAAGGCCUGCGGGUUGUAAAGCACUUUCAGUAGGGAAGAAAAGCUCAAGGCCAAUACCCUUGAGUCUUGACGUACCUACAGAA
rnacentral:rRNA from 1 species